CUUUUGAGAGAGAAACUUUUUUCUGUUCUAAAAGAUAAAAUGCCUGAAGAUAUUAGAUCAUAUAGUCCAACCAUAAACCAUACAGGUGCAAAGAAUUUGGGUUCUUUGGAGAAACAGAAGCAGUACAAUGUACACGUAAUUACAAGAUGGGAUCGAGGGGACUGGCUCAUGCAGAGGCAGCGAAGAUCCACAGUGACUGUCUGCAGGCUGCAGAGCCAGGAGAAGUGCAAGCUAUUCAUCCUGAAGCUGGAAGCUGGUGAACAUACAGAGCCAAGGAUGUAGCUGAGGCUGAAAGCCUGAAAGCCCCAGGAAGGCCCACUGGGGCAAGUCUGUGUUCAAGACCUGAAGAGUCUGAAGGCAGUUGUCUACCAGCAACAGCAGCAUCAAAAACCACACCAGACCAAGAAGGAUCAAUGAACACAGUUGUGUUUGUGGCAAACCUUUAUCCCAACAUCCUGGAAGGCAGAGGCCAUGAGGAUCACCAAUUGGAGCAUAGCCUGGCAUGAGGCUGUGGAUCAGUGUGAAGGGCCUGGGUUCAAUUCCCAGUACCAGGAUGAAUGAAAUGAGAAAGAGAAAGACAAAGAACUAAUGACAGGAAAGAGAGAUAGGAAAGGAAGGAAGGAAGGGAAAGAAAGAAAGGGGAGGUAGAAGCAAGUAAGCAAGAGAGAAAGAAAGAGAGAGAGAGAAAGAAAGAAAGAAAGAAAGAAAGAAAGAAAGAAAGAAAGAAAGAAAGAAAGAAAGAAAGAAAGAAAAUGGGAAAGAGAGGUCAGUCAAGCUCAUCAGUGGUAGCUUUCCCCUGCUUGCAGAUUGGCGGUGGUGGUGGUAGCAGUUGUUCUUGCUCCAUUUGGGUCCUCCACCAUGUGUGGCCAUGUUCAGGGCAGGUCUUCCUCAUGUACUUUGCUGACCAGUUUUCUUCUGUGACACAGUUUUCUUCUGUGAAAACGCCUCAUAAAAACAUCCAAAAGUGUGCCUCGUGUUUCUGGCCAGGUAUUUCUCUGCGACCGUUUCUCAGGAAGCUCUCUGCAUGUCCCUCUUCAUCUCAGAAGCCAAUUCCAUGGAACCCGAUCUAAAACAGAUGGAGAUGACAUUCAUGUCGUUUAUAAACACUUAGCCAGAGUAAUCUGGAGGAUGUUUUCAGUAAUAAAUUCAGAGUCACACUUUGAACACGAAAACAAGUAUCUUUUCUUUAUUCCCUCGCCUAUUCUAAACAGAUUCUUCAGUAAUUUGAACAAGAUCUAGUCUGUAUUAUGUUAAAGAGAGUUUUAAAAAUAAACUCCACAUUAAUAAUUUGAAAGUCUAUUUUCUCAGUUUUGUAAUUUUUCCUUACUGAUACUGAUUGAUGAUACAACAUAAUUUCAAAUAUAAAAGAAUAUUCCAUUACUGUUGCUUCUUUAAUUAUCCUCACCCACAACUCCCAUCACCAUGAGAGCAGAGCUAUUGACUUACGAUUAUUUAUCUUACAGAAUAAGACUGAAUAUAUACUUGAUACAUAAUUGUUUGCUUUAACUGAUGAAUCACUGGCUCAAUUUACAUAAAAAAUCAAUUCCUUUGCACAUUUUUUCUUAAACUCAAACUUUAAAACUUUUUGACACAAAUUCACAUUAAUUCAACUUCUCCAAAAUGCGUAGCUUUAAUCCAUACAUUCUUGAAAAAACCCUUCACACAAAAACAAAAAAUAUCAUUAUCAAAUGCAUAUCUGUGGCUUAAAUUACAACUCAUACUUGUAGUAAAUUCUUUGUGGUAACAUCAUAUAUGCCAUAAAGUAACACAGGGCUGUGAUGAUAAUUAUGUGCUAUAAACGUGCUUUUGCAUGGGAACUCUGACCUGAUAUGUGAGGCUCACACCCUCUCUGCUAUUGGCAUAGCAUCUACAAUUCCUGUUUGGUCGGGCUGAACCUCUUAUAAUGUCUUAAUUCACUUUUUAAAGUUUUUGUGGUGAAAGGAAGUCUUACUUUUAAAUUCUGAAUAUA
ensembl:lncRNA